UGGGUUUGACAUCUAGGGAACCCUGUGGAAACACGGGGGUGCCUCUUCGGAGGAGCCCUAAGAC
rnacentral:rRNA from 1 species